rnacentral:pre_miRNA from 1 species
AUUCUACUCCCUCCGUCCCAAAAUUCAUGUUUUAGAUUUGUCCAGAUACGGAUGUAUCUAACACUGAAAUGUAACUAGAUACAUCCGUAUUUAGACAAAUAUAAGACAAGAAUUUUGAAACGGAGGGAGUAUGUU